AGAGUUUGAUCCUGGCUCAGAUUGAACGCUGGCGGCAGGCUUAACACAUGCAAGUCGAGCGGAAACGAUGAUAGCUUGCUAUCAGGCGUCGAGCGGCGGACGGGUGAGUAAUACUUAGGAAUCUACCUAGUAGUGGGGGAUAGCACGGGGAAACUCGUAUUAAUACCGCAUACGUCCUACGGGAGAAAGGGGGCAACUUGUUGCUCUCGCUAUUAGAUGAGCCUAAGUCGGAUUAGCUAGAUGGUGGGGUAAAGGCCUACCAUGGCGACGAUCUGUAGCUGGUCUGAGAGGAUGAUCAGCCACACCGGGACUGAGACACGGCCCGGACUCCUACGGGAGGCAGCAGUGGGGAAUAUUGGACAAUGGGGGAAACCCUGAUCCAGCCAUGCCGCGUGUGUGAAGAAGGCCUUUUGGUUGUAAAGCACUUUAAGCAGUGAAGAAGACUCUUCGGUUAAUACCCGGAGACGAUGACAUUAGCUGCAGAAUAAGCACCGGCUAACUCUGUGCCAGCAGCCGCGGUAAUACAGAGGGUGCAAGCGUUAAUCGGAAUUACUGGGCGUAAAGCGAGCGUAGGUGGCUUGAUAAGUCAGAUGUGAAAUCCCCGGGCUUAACCUGGGAACUGCAUCUGAAACUGUUAGGCUAGAGUAGGUGAGAGGGAAGUAGAAUUUCAGGUGUAGCGGCGAAAUGCGUAGAGAUCUGAAGGAAUACCGAUGGCGAAGGCAGCUUCCUGGCAUCAUACUGACACUGAGGCUCGAAAGCGUGGGUAGCA
rnacentral:rRNA from 1 species